rnacentral:rRNA from 1 species
CUAAAGGAUCCCGUCUAAGUUUGAAAGGGGUCUGGAAUUUUGUAACCGGGCCCCAUUGGUUUUGCGCCGGGUGGGUGAGUAACACGUGGGCAACCUGCCCUGCAGAUCCUUUUAACUCCGGGAAACCGGUGCUAAUACCGAAUAGUUUGCGGCCUCUCAUGAGGCUGCACGGAAAGACGGUUUCGGCUGUCACUGCAGGAUGGGCCCGCGGCGCAUUAGCUAGUUGGUGAGGUAACGGCUCACCAAGGCCACGAUGCGUAGCCGACCUGAGAGGGUGAUCGGCCACACUGGGACUGAGACACGGCCCAGACUCCUACGGGAGGCAGCAGUAGGGAAUCUUCCGCAAUGGACGAAAGUCUGACGGAGCAACGCCGCGUGAGUGAAGAAGGUUUUCGGAUCGUAAAACUCUGUUGUGAGGGAAGAACAAGUACCAACUAACUACUGGUACCUUGACGGUACCUCACCAGAAAGCCACGGCUAACUACGUGCCAGCAGCCGCGGUAAUACGUAGGUGGCAAGCGUUGUCCGGAAUUAUUGGGCGUAAAGCGCGCGCAGGCGGUUCUUUAAGUCUGAUGUGAAAGCCCACGGCUCAACCGUGGAGGGUCAUUGGAAACUGGGGAACUUGAGUGCAGAAGAGGAAAGUGGAAUUCCAUGUGUAGCGGUGAAAUGCGUAGAGAUGUGGAGGAACACCAGUGGCGAAUGCGACUUUCUGGUCUGUAACUGACGCUGAGGCGCGAAAGCGUGGGGAGCAAAACAGGAUCAGAUACCCUGGUAGUCCACGCCGUAAACGAUGAGUGCUAAGUGUUAGGGGGUUUCCGCCCCUUAGUGCUGCAGCUAACGCAUUAAGCACUCGCCUGGGGAGUACUGGCGGCAAGGCUGAUACUUAUAAGAAUUGACUGGGGCCCGCACAGCGGUGGAGCAUGUGGUUUAAUUCGA